rnacentral:tRNA from 1 species
UUAAAGUUAAUAAAUUUUUUUAUUAUAUUUAAUUUUCGAUUAAAAGAUUGUCUUUAAA